rnacentral:rRNA from 1 species
UACAGAGGGGGCAAGCGUUGUUCGGAAUUACUGGGCGUAAAGCGCGCGUAGGCGGUUUGAUAAGCGGAGUGUGAAAUCCCCGGGCUUAACCUGGGAACUGCAUUCCGAACUGUCGAGCUAGAGUAUGAGAGAGGGUGGCGGAAUUCCGAGUGUAGCGGUGAAAUGCGUAGAUAUUCGGAGGAACACCAGUGGCGAAGGCGGCCACCUGGAUCAAUACUGACGCUGAGGCGCGAAAGCGUGGGUAGCAAACAGG